rnacentral:rRNA from 1 species
CCUACGGGAGGCAGCAGUGAGGAAUAUUGGUCAAUGGACGAGAGUCUGAACCAGCCAAGUAGCGUGAAGGAUGACUGCCCUAUGGGUUGUAAACUUCUUUUAUAUGGGAAUAAAAUGUUCCACGUGUGGGAUUUUGUAUGUACCAUAUGAAUAAGGAUCGGCUAACUCCGUGCCAGCAGCCGCGGUAAUACGGAGGAUCCGAGCGUUAUCCGGAUUUAUUGGGUUUAAAGGGAGCGUAGGUGGAUUGUUAAGUCAGUUGUGAAAGUUUGCGGCUCAACCGUAAAAUUGCAGUUGAAACUGGCAGUCUUGAGUACAGUUGAGGUGGGCGGAAUUCGUGGUGUAGCGGUGAAAUGCUUAGAUAUCACGAAGAACUCCGAUUGCGAAGGCAGUUCACUGGACUGCAACUGACACUGAGGCUCGAAAGUGUGGGUAUCAAACAGGAUUAGAUACCCGAGUAGUC